GCCUGCGUGGUGUAGUGAUCAGCACGUUCAGCGCGUAUUCGAGAUGUCCGUGGUUCGAAUCCCGGCGAGGGCA
rnacentral:tRNA from 1 species